UCUACGGACCAAAGUGGGGGACCUUCGGGCCUCAUGCCAUCAGAUGUGCCCAGAUGGGAUUAGCUAGUAGGUGGGGUAACGGCUCACCUAGGCGACGAUCCCUAGCUGGUCUGAGAGGAUGACCAGCCACACUGGAACUGAGACACGGUCCAGACUCCUACGGGGGGCAGCAGUGGGGAAUAUUGCACAAUGGGCGCAAGCCUGAUGCAGCCAUGCCGCGUGUAUGAAGAAGGCCUUCGGGUUGUAAAGUACUUUCAGCGGGGAGGAAGGUGUUGUGGUUAAUAACCGCAGCAAUUGACGUUACCCG
rnacentral:rRNA from 1 species